GCCGGUAUAGCACAACGGUAGUGCUUCUGCUUUGUAAGCAGGGGGUUGUGGGUUCGAUUCCUACUGCCGGCACCA
rnacentral:tRNA from 1 species